UACGGGGGGGGCAAGCGUUGUUCGGAAUUACUGGGCGUAAAGGGCUCGUAGGCGGCCAACUAAGUCGGAUGUGAAAUCCCCAGGCUCAACCUGGGAACUGCAUCCGAUACUGGAUGGCUUGAAUUCGGGAGAGGGAUGCAGAAUUCCAGGUGUAGCGGUGAAAUGCGUAGAUAUCUGGAGGAACACCGGUGGCGAAGGCGGCAUCCUGGACCGACACUGACGCUGAGGAGCGAAAGCGUGGGGAGCGAACAGG
rnacentral:rRNA from 1 species